rnacentral:misc_RNA from 1 species
GAUGAAGAACGUAGCGAAAUGCGAUACUCGGUGUGAAUUGCAGAAUCCCGUGAACCAUCGAGUCUUUGAACGCAAGUUGCGCCCGAAGCCAUUAGGCCGAGGGCACGCCUGCCUGGGCGUCACACGUCGUUGCCCCCCCAUCUACUCCUUCGGGAUUGCGGGGGGCGGAUGAUGGCCUCUCGUGCGCCUCGUCGCGCGGUUGGCCUAAAUGCCAAGUCCUCGGCGACGCACGCCACGACAAUCGGUGGUUGCGAAACCUCGGUUGCCUGUCGUGUGCGGUCGUCGCGCAUCGAGGGCUCGAAAAAAUUGCCGGGCUUCGGCUCGACUUUCAACGCGACCCCAGGUCAGGCGGGGUUACCCGCUGAAUUUAAGCAUAUCAAUAAGCGGAGGA